CCUAAACUUGCCGCUAUUUUUUACUAAAUUUACACAUGCAAGCAUCCACAUACCAGUGAAAAUGCCCACCAAGUCGAAAAGACAAAUGGAGCAGGUAUCAGGCACAAUUGUUUAGCCAAUGACACCUUGCCAUGCCACAUCCCCACGGAUUUACAGCAGUGAUUAAUAUUAGAUAUAAGCGAAAGCUUGAUCUAGUUAUAGUAAGCUUCAAGGGCCGGUAAAUUUCGUGCCAGCCACCGCGGUUAUACGAAAGACCCAAAAUAGUGCCACCCGGCGUAAAGCGUGGUUAGAAUUUACCCAAAUAAGGAAAAACAUCUUCUCCGCUGUAAAACGCUUAAGAAGUUAGAA
rnacentral:rRNA from 1 species